rnacentral:ncRNA from 2 species
AAAAUUAACAAGUUUUACGGUACCAUAUUGGUAAAUAGGGAAAGAGGUGUGAAUCCUCUACAGCCCCCGCUGCUGUGAAUAGGUUAUGCUUUUCAGAACCACUGUUCCUCGGAACGGGAAGGGAAAAGAUGAGAGCCUUAAGUCAGAAGACCUGCCUUGAAACGAAAGAUUAA